rnacentral:lncRNA from 1 species
GUUGUACUUGUAUACAAACUCCUUUCUAAAUUUUAUAAUCGGGAUCGAUCUCUCUUUCUCUGAAACAUUUUGGAAACUUCUAGGUAAGGCUUCUUCAUUCCAAAGCAAGACCACAAUUUUUCUUCAUGGCCACCGGAGAGGAGAAACCUGUUAUGGUCGUCGGUAUCGACGAAAGCGAGCAGAGCACUUACGCCUUGGAGUGGACCCUCGAUCGUUUCUUCACUCCCUACGCUCCUAAUUUUCCUUUCAAGCUCUUCAUCGUCCACGCCAAACCUAACGCCGUCUCUGCCGUUGGUCUUGCUGGUCCCGGUACCCUCUUUUGAUUGACUAGCUAGGAACUGUCUUCUUCUAUCUAGGUUUCUCUGUUUCAGAUAUAUAUCAUUUGCGGUUUCUUUUUUCUUUUUAGGAGCUGCGGAGGUUCUGCCUUAUGUUGAUACCGAUUUGAAGCAUAUUGCUGCCAGGGUUAUCGAGAUGGCUAAAGGUAUCUGUCAGAGCAAAUCGGUAAGUAUUCACUCAUUAAUUCUUCGACUAUUUCAUAAAGGAUAAUUAUAAGAGAGCGUAUACAAUGAUGUUUCAAUGUUUGAUGAGCUAUAUUUGUUUUGAAUCUCUACAUCAUUCAAGCUUAGAUACUCCUUAUAGUUUUUUCCUUCUUUACUUUAUAAUUGAUCUUUUAUAUUUUUUUGUUUUUUUUUGUAAAAGUAAUUUAUCUAUUUUUAGUUACGUACUAGCUUCUUCUCAAUCAUUGAUUCUCUAGGUUUGUGCCGUGUAGGUUAAUGGCGCUAUGUUCGAAGUUUUUGAAGGUGAUGCAAGAAGUAUACUGUGCGAUGUUGUGGAUAAACAUCAUGCUUCUCUUCUUGUCGUGGGAAGCCAUGGUUAUGGAGCUAUCAAGAGGUAUAUAAUAUCUUUGUGUAUUUAAUUAUUAUAAUACUCACAAUCAUCAAUCUUGACUAUUUUUCUCGGCUUUAAUUCCCGACUCCUAUCACAGGGCGGUUCUAGGGAGCGUGAGCGACUACUGUGCUCAUCAUGCUCAUUGCUCGGUGAUGAUCGUGAAGAAGCCUAAGAUCAAGCACUGAUGAUCACCUAAACCCAAGCUGUUAUAUCAGUCAAAGCAAAGCAAAGUCUCAUCUGCAUAGUCGUCAGUUUCGGUGAAAUGAAAUAAAAUUGUGAAACGAUCCAAUCUAUAUAUUAAUAUUCGUGUGUAAAUUGGUUAUUGUAUUCAUAAACUAUUUUAUAUAUUGACGUUUGAUAAUACUAUUGUGGUUAUCUGCUUACCUACAAACAAGUAAACAAAAUAAGUUUUAAAAAACCUCAUAUGAGUGAGAAGACUGUUAUGGAUGAAUAUUGUUGGCUAAUGAUUCAGGGACAUGGAUAUAUCCGAAUAAAAUAAAAAAAAGAGAAGUGUUGAGACCAAUGUCAUUGUCUGGUUUUCAACAAGGGGAGGCAUGAUGACAUAUAUGUGAAAAAAGAUUAUUACCGCAUCGGCUUUCGAAAAGGCAGACUAAUUCGGAGAGAGAGAGAGAGCGACUGAGAUGAUUUUUGUUUGACAUUUUUCGAAAACGAGAUUUUUUUUGUUGUGUUCCGUCCGAUUGAGGCUUGGUGGAGACAUGGCCGGAGCUAAUGAUGAUGAUUAUGAUCGUAACAACCGCCGGAUUGCUAACUGAUAUAUUUCAAGGACAAAGCUAAUACCCAUUUCUGGGUAUGCAAAUAUGGCUAACCCACUAUAAAUACACAUUCUUGUUUUGAGUCCUGAGGCAUUCAUCACCUCUCUUCUUCUUCAUCCUUCUUCUAUAUUUUUUCUUUGGUUUAAGCUGGGAAAUGGAUGUACUGAAGUUUGAUUACAACCACAAGGGUGACAAUGCAUUAAAGGAGCUCGAGAGGAUCACCUCGAAGGCUGCUGAAGUCCAAGAUAAUAUGUUAAGUGGGAUCUUAGAAAGAAACAAGGACACACAGUACUUGAGAAAGUACAUGAAAGGCUCUAAGGACGUUAUGGAGUUUAAACGCUCUGUGCCAGUCAUCACGUACAAAGAUGUAUGUCCUUACAUUCAGAGAAUUGCAAAUGGAGAAGACUCUUCUCUGAUUACUGGUCAUCCUAUCACUGAGAUACUAUGCAGGUCGAUUUUUAUUUCUAGCCUGAAUCUCUUUCUUAGUAACAGCCUCCCCUUCCUUUGUGUUUGAAUAUAAAUUUGUGUAUGGCUAAAUAAAUGUAUCUGCUUGCUUUCAUGUUGCAGCUCAGGAACUUCUGGUGGAGAGCCGAAGCUAAUGCCAACCAUUUCGGAAGAUCUUGAUCGGCGCACCUUUGUCUACAAUCUUAUCAAUCCAAUCGCGAACAAGUUAGUACAAUGUUUCCUGUUAAUAUUCAGUCCUGAUAUACUUUAACAUCCUCCUUGUUGCUCUUAUAAGAGUAGUGAUUAGUGAAGAAGGAAUUACAUCUUCCAUGCACAUGAAUAUUUACUUGAUAAAAAACAAAGUGGCUGAUCUCAUAUUCCAUAAAAGAACCACUAGGACUGUUCCUGUAGUUGUAGGAUAGUGGAUAUGUCUCAAAAUCUGACCUAUGGAAGUGGAAGUACACAUCACAUCACAAUUCCUCCAUGUUAUUAUCCACUGGAAACAUUUAAUAAAAAAGGAAAAAAAUUAAAAAGGUUAACGAUAGGCUUCAAUGUGAAUAUGGCUUCAUAAUCAUUGUAGGCACUAACAUAUGGAAUCUGGAUACACAUGCAUAGAUGUACUGGCCGUGGUACCAAUAAAUCUUCAUAGUAGGUUGCUCACUAAGGAAGUUUGCUUUCUGCUUUGAGUUUUGUGUUUGCUUUUUGUGGAAAUUAAGUGGUAUCAUGUCAUGUACUAUAAAGUUUGCAUCCAUCAUCUUUUAUCCACACGCCAUUUUGAUGUCCCCACCCAAAGAUUCUCUGAGAAUUUUGAACAGCACUUACUAAACCUCAAGAAUCUUUUCAUAUCCACUACUGAUUUUUCUUUUCUUUCAUUUUACCUCUUUUACCAUCGUCUCUCUUUACUAUGUUUUUGACUGAGAUUUAUUAUAUGUAUUACUGACAGGUAUCUAGAAGGACUUGACAAAGGAAAAACAAUGUACCUAAACUUCGUCAAAGCUGAAACAUCAACUCCUUGUGGUUUACCAAUCAGAACUGUCCUCACUAGCUACUACAAGAGCAAACAUUUCCAGUGCCGACCUUACGAUCCAUUCAACGACUUAACCAGUCCCAUCCAAACCAUCCUUUGUGAAGACAGCAACCAAAGCAUGUACUGUCAGUUACUUGCCGCUCUUAUUCACCGUCACAAAGUCAUGCGUCUCGGAGCUGUCUUCGCUUCAGCCUUUCUCCGUGCAAUCUCUUAUCUCGAGCGAAAAUGGAGCCAGCUCUGCCAAGACAUCCGCACCGGCCAUCUCAGUCCCAUGAUCACCGAUCCAGGAUGCCAGACGGCUAUGACUUCUCUUCUAGCCUCGCCAAAUCCUGACUUAGCUGACGAGGUUGAAGAAAUCUGUGGACGCCCGUCGUGGAAAGGGAUUCUGUGUCAACUCUGGCCUCAAGCAAAGUUCAUUGAAGCAGUAGUGACAGGCUCAAUGGCUCAGUACAUACCAGCGCUUGAGUUCUUUAGCCAAGGCAAGAUUCCGUUGGUUUGUCCAAUGUAUGCUUCCUCCGAGACUUACUUUGGAGUCAACGUGAAGCCACUCUCCAAGCCAUCUGACGUCGUUUUCACGCUCUUGCCCAACAUGUGCUACUUCGAGUUCAUUCCUCUCGGCAAAAACGGAACUCUCUCUUUUGACGUAGAGGACGAAGAAGUCGUCCCCUGUGACAAAGUGGUUGACUUGGUCGACGUCAAACUCGGACGCUACUAUGAACUCGUCGUCACAACCUUCGCAGGUAAAGAAACUGGUGGCAUUGUCUUCUCCUUUUUAGUCAGCUCUGACUCUUGCAUGGAAACAGGAUUGUACCGUUACAGAAUCGGCGAUGUCCUUCAAGUGGCGGGGUUCUACAACAAAGCACCACAGUUCAGGUUUAUCUGCAGGAGAAACGUGGUUCUAAGCAUCGACUUAGACAAAACCAACGAGGAAGAUCUUCACAGGAGCAUCACGCUGGCCAAGAAGAAGCUUGAAAACAAGGCAUUCCUCGCGGAGUACACGAGCUACGCGGAUACUUCAUCAGUGCCAGGUCACUACGUGCUCUUCUGGGAGAUCCAAUGGCUCGAACCUGAUGAUGAGGAGGAGAAGCUGCUGAUGGAAGAGUGUUGCAUUGCGGUUGAGGAAGAGCUGGAUUACAUAUACAGGCAAUGCAGGAAGAGAGAUAGAUCGGUGGGGCCUUUAGAGAUAAGAGUGGUGAAGCCAGGGACGUUCGAGAAGCUGAUGGAUAUGAUAAUAAGCCAAGGAGGGUCGCUUAAUCAGUACAAAACGCCGAGAUGUGUUAAGUCCAACAGUGCUAUGCUCAAGCUCUUGGACGGCCACGUGACCGGUUCCUUCUCUAGCCCUCGUGAUCCAACCUGGUCCCCUUGAUGUCGAACGUAUGUAUUGAUCGGAGAGACUAUAAUUUACUAAUCAGUAUUCGGUAAUAACCAAAUGGGAUCGGAUUUGCUGUAAUGCUAGCAGUAGCAGGCAUGUAAUGCUACUACCUGAUUGAUUAAAAAAUGUUAUAAGAAACUUCAUUUACCGAGUUAUCUAUCUCUUAUAGUUCCUUUCAGUUUCUCGUCGCAUAAUAUAACUUUAGUACCGAGUUACUUAUAUCGUAUGAUUUACAAUAUAUUAAGGAAUUUUAAGACGAUCAUCAUCCUCAAGCCCUCUUGAAACAAAAGCUACUGUGGGAUUCUUUUUUUGUAUUCUCUGGCAUGGCUUCUGAGGAAGAGUUGUAUUCAUUGGGUGUUUGAAGUGUGUUUCCCGGCCCAAACAUAUAACACAAGAGUCCAAUCUGUUUAUCCAACUGUCGUUGGUUACAAAUUUAAUUACAUCAUCAUCCACUUUGUCGGCACUUAAUCUUAUCAGGAUCAUGGAUAAAUGCCAUGUGAUCUGUGAACAUGGCUUCUUAACGGACAGAAACCCCACGUACGCUGUCUCCCAAAACUUGAUUCGGAUAAUACUGAAAUGAAAAAGCAAUUAUUAUGAUUGUUUUUUGAUUUUUCUCUUGUGUUGAACAUAUAUAGUCAGCCAAAAGACAUGAAGCGCAUCUGGUGUAGUGGUAUCAUAGUACCCUCCCACGGUACUGACCAGGGUUCGAUUCCCUGGAUGCGCAUUUUUUUGUGCAAGAGUGUUCCGGUUUGGUUUGCAUAGGUUUUUUGGGCUUGGUUAAGGAUUAGUAGUGGAAACUGGCUUAGAUGCAUUCAGAUUAUCCAUCUCUUGGCCUAGAUUCCCAGUUAGUCUCUUAAACUUAUGCUCCUCUCUUUCCAUUUUCUUUAACUGGAAGGGAACCAAUUAAGAUCAUGAGCUCUUGUCUCAUUAAUUAGAAGGAAGAGGUCUUGUUAAGCCGAAAGGUCUAGAGUUCUACAAGAACUAAUAUAUUCAGUAUUGGAGGCUACAAAAAUGGGGGGUACAAAACCACCUGGUCGUUGUUCGGCCUGCUUCUCAGGGAACUCUUCCACUGAACCAUAUAUGGUAGCACAUAACUUGCUGCUUGCCCACGCCUCUGCUUCUAGACUAUAUAAGCAAAAGUACAAGGUAAUAUUUCAAAGUCCGGUAAUUGAAUAUGAUAAAGCUUAUUGUUUAGCUGCAUGAUCUCAGUUGUUUUAUUGCACAGCAUACACACAACACAUAAAAAAAAGAGCAGGAGGUACAUAACCUAAUAAUAAUGAUAAUAAGCAACAAAGGAACAAAUCAUUUAUGUCAAACGAAGGAAAAAUCUCAGGGAUGUAACAAAAGCACCAUAUGUCACUGCUUCUGGAGGUGAAGAACCUUAACCCAAGCAGGCCUGGCAGUGAUCUUCUUGAUCCACUCCUUAACCUUAGGGCGAGACUCAAAGAGCUUCUUGGAGUCGGUACCCAUCAAGUAAUAGAUGAUUGGGAGGUGGUGAAGAUCAGCCAGAGUGAAGCAAUCACCAGCCAAGAAGGGUGAUUUGGAGAGCCUGGCCUCGUAGAUAUCCAAGACCUUCACCAACUUAGCUUCGAGGUCUUCCACAGCGGCAGGGUCAGUGGUCAUGCCAAGCAUGCCUUUGAAGACACGCUCGAAGGCUAGCUUAGAGGCGAUAGGGUCAAACUGUUGACCUUCAACUUGAAGCCAGACCUUUGUGGUGGCCUUGAGUUUCUUGCAGCCUUGGCAGAGAAGCUUCUCGCCUUUGUCGCUGUACUCCUCCGCUAUGUACUCUGUGAUGGCUCUUGACUCUGAAAAACAAAAAUGAAUUCAUGUGUAUCAUUGAUACUUAACCAACACGUAAUGAAAACAGAUUAAGAAAAAAAAGGAACUAACCGAAAAGCGUCAGAUCACCGUCUAGGAGAGCAGGGAUUUGACCGAAGGGCUAAAAAAAAGAAAAAGGAAAGAGCAGAGUGGUCAGAUAUGUGAAUGUGAUGAUGAAAACCAAAUUAACCAAAGCUGUGUAGAGAGUUAUUACGUACGUUGAGGGAGAUGAGAGGCUCCUGCUUGUGAGCACCGGCUUUCAUGUCGACGGGGACUAUCUCGAAAUCGAGGCCCUUCUCGUAAAGAGUAGCCAGAACGCGCAUUGUGGCCGUUGAUAUUGGAAGUCCGUGUACUUUGAUGCCGCCGCCCAUGCUUAUAAGCUUUUAAUUGGAUCUGAAGGGGUGAAUGGUGGUGCAUGGUGUUUUAUAGGUGGAGGAGGAGGCAAGGCAAGAGAAGAAUAAGUCGUUGUUGCCAUUCUUUUCGUUUGCACAAACUUCUCACCACCACAUCACCACGUCUCCUCUUCCUCCUCCUUCUCCCACUUUCUCUCUGUUUAUUUGUAACCUCUAUUUUUUUUUUUUAUCGUUUUAACCCAUUUGGUUUUGUAACUACAGAUUCAUAUACAUACAUAAAAUAAAUAAAGAAGUUAACGUUGGUUAUGCCCCCAUGCAUGUUUAAGAAAAGUAAUUUAAUAUUUCAUGCAUGGUAUCAGGUAUCAAUCCACCAAAUUUGUUUAACGAUGGUAACGUUUUAAAUUUGAUUUAUAUCCGAAUUUAACGUUUAGGAUGGUUAUACCUAAUAUCAGUCAACAAAAAGAUAAAAUAAAAUAGAUAGAUAGAUAUAUAUUAGCGCCUAUUCAAAUCACAAAACAACAAGUGUAGGUCGGUGUAUAUGGGGUACAUAAAAAAAAUAUGUGGUGGAGGCAUAUGUUGGGUAUAAUAAUUACACCAAUCAAAAGAGAGCAUAAUCUAACGAGGACCAUCCACGUAAUAAAAAAAUAUCGCAUUCAUUCCUUACUCUUUCAGUUGUACUUGUAUACAAACUCCUUUCUAAAUUUUAUAAUCGGGAUCGAUCUCUCUUUCUCUGAAACAUUUUGGAAACUUCUAGGUAAGGCUUCUUCAUUCCAAAGCAAGACCACAAUUUUUCUUCAUGGCCACCGGAGAGGAGAAACCUGUUAUGGUCGUCGGUAUCGACGAAAGCGAGCAGAGCACUUACGCCUUGGAGUGGACCCUCGAUCGUUUCUUCACUCCCUACGCUCCUAAUUUUCCUUUCAAGCUCUUCAUCGUCCACGCCAAACCUAACGCCGUCUCUGCCGUUGGUCUUGCUGGUCCCGGUACCCUCUUUUGAUUGACUAGCUAGGAACUGUCUUCUUCUAUCUAGGUUUCUCUGUUUCAGAUAUAUAUCAUUUGCGGUUUCUUUUUUCUUUUUAGGAGCUGCGG